rnacentral:rRNA from 1 species
GAGUUUGAACCUGGCUCAGGAUGAACGCUGGCGGCGUGCCUAACACAUGCAAGUCGAACGGACAGAUAUGGAAACCUAGUGAAAUAUCUGUUAGUGGCGGACGGGUGAGUAACGCGUGGAUAACCUGCCAUAUACAGGGGGAUAACACUUAGAAAUAGGUGCUAAUACCGCAUAAGCGCACAGCUUCGCAUGAAGGAGUGUGAAAAACUGAGGUGGUAUAUGAUGGAUCCGCGUCUGAUUAGCCAGUUGGUGAGGUAACGGCUCACCAAAGCGACGAUCAGUAGCCGGCCUGAGAGGGCGGACGGCCACAUUGGGACUGAGACACGGCCCAGACUCCUGCGGGAGGCAGCAGUGGGGGAUAUUGCACAAUGGGGGAAACCCUGAUGCAGCGACGCCGCGUGAGUGAAGAAGUAAUUCGUUACGUAAAGCUCUAUCAGCAGGGAAGAAAAUGACGGUACCUGACUAAGAAGCCCCGGCUAACUACGUGCCAGCAGCCGCG